rnacentral:tRNA from 1 species
UCCCCCAUGGCUCAGUGGAUAAAGAAUCUGCCUGCAAUGCAGGAGACACAGGUUCGAUCCCUGGGUUGGGAA